UACAGAGGGUGCGAGCGUUAAUCGGAAUUACUGGGCGUAAAGGGUGCGUAGGCGGUUGAAUAAGUUAGGUGUGAAAUUCCUGGGCUUAACCUGGGGACUGCGUCUGAUACUGUUUAGCUAGAGUACUGUAGAGGAAAGUGGAAUUUCCGGUGUAGCGGUGAAAUGCGUAGAUAUCGGAAGGAACACCAGUGGCGAAAGCGACUUUCUGGCCAGAUACUGACACUGAGGCACGAAAGCAUGGGUAGCAAACAGG
rnacentral:rRNA from 1 species